GUAAACGUACCAGUCAAAAUUCUGCUCAAUCCAAACAAUGGAAGCCAGGGCGAGUGUUGGAAGGUUCUUCUGUUAAUGACCAGAACAGAGCAAGUAUCGAUUUGGUGGCACCAACUGCACAAGCUCCUGUUGCUAGCCCAGCUAGCUUACCUACCAAACAUCAAAGUAGACGUAAGAUGGAUUUAAAGAGAAAAUUGAGCUCAAAAGAGAUGAAGUUUUCUGAGAAUAGUUUAAAAACCCAACCUAACAAAAACUCUCUCUCACAGGAAGACAGACUGCUCUCCGUGAAGGUAAUUCUUUACAUCUUGAGUAGACUCGGUUUUCCAUUUUACUAAAUUUUCUUUUACUUUUGUUGAAUUUGCAGGAGAAGCUUUCUGGUUGUCUGUCAUCUAAUAUGGUGCGUAGAUGGUGCACUUUUGAGUGGUUCUACAGUGCAAUUGAUUACCCCUGGUUUUCUAACCGGGAGUUUGUGGAGUACUUAAAUCAUGUUGGACUUGGGCACAUCCCAAGGCUUACUCGUGUUGAAUGGGGUGUCAUAAGAAGGUGAUUGUUUGUUCUCUCUUUCUCUCCCUCUCUCCCUCAAACUGCUAUGUAUCUACUUUUAAACAUUUAUGAAAUAAUUUUAUAGGGAAUAACAAUGACAUGGAUGAUUUACAUUGCAACUGUUGCUUGAUACAGUUCCCUUGGCAAACCUCGAAGGCUUUCUAAACGCUUUCUACACGAUGAAAGAGAGAAACUUAAACAAUAUCGAGAAUCUGUGAGAAAACAUUAUGCUGAACUCCGCACUGGUGUAAGGGAAGGACUUCCAAGAGAUUUACCACGGCCUUUAUCUGUUGGACAGAGAGUGAUUGCUAUUCAUCCCAAAACAAGGGAAUUGCAUGAUGGGAGUGUACUCACAAUUGAUCAUGAUAAGUGUAGGGUUCAGUUCGACCGUCCUGAGUUAGGAGUUGAAUUUGUCAUGGUAAUUAUGUUUUCUUGACAUUGCUAUUUCAUUUUCAUCUUGUCUUCGUUGCACUAUAUGCAUCUGUUUAUGAUUCGUUGGUUUAGAGGAUCAAAGCACGAGGGAUGGUUUGGGUGUUAGCUUCUUUUAAGUGGAUUUCAGUAUUGCUGGCUGUAUAAUUUGAAGAUGAGGCUCCCUGUUUUUGCUUAAAUACUAAUCUAGCUGAUCGUAUUGUUUGAACAAACUACAAUGGUUGGGUCCUGUGGCUGGGUCUCGGUGCUAUGAAAUGAGUUGAUCAUCUUGUUAUGACACUGUAAAUUAGCCCGAAAUGAGUAUAAUGGUGAAUUAGCUGGUCGUGAAAACAGUUUGUAUUCAGAAGAUAGUGAAUACAGUUAUUUUGUCUGUUGAGUUUUAUGUGCUCUUUAGACAAUGAUUUUGUGUGUGUAUUUAUAUCUUCUGGUGUUUUUAUUUCUUAUGAUUUCUCCAUUGUUCUCAUGUUCAUAGAUUGUAAACUUGCUGUCCCGGUAAAUGAAUUAUAUAUUACAUCAUUGUAGUUUUCUUUUACAUGCGGGUAAUUAGGAAAUACAUUUGACAGGAUAUUGAUAGCAUGCCUUCAAAUCCACUGGAUAACAUGCCAGAAGCUCUUAGAAGACAGAUCAGUGCUGAUAAGUUCUCAGCAAUAUCUAAAGAAUUGCAAGUGAAUGGUCAUCCUAAUUUCGGUUCCCCCAUGUUACCUUAGCUGAAGAACAUAAUAAAUUUGCCAGUAAAGGUAAACGUACCAGUCAAAAUUCUGCUCAAUCCAAACAAUGGAAGCCAGGGCGAGUGUUGGAAGGUUCUUCUGUUAAUGACCAGAACAGAGCAAGUAUCGAUUUGGUGGCACCAACUGCACAAGCUCCUGUUGCUAGCCCAGCUAGCUUACCUACCAAACAUCAAAGUAGACGUAAGAUGGAUUUAAAGAGAAAAUUGAGCUCAAAAGAGAUGAAGUUUUCUGAGAAUAGUUUAAAAACCCAACCUAACAAAAACUCUCUCUCACAGGAAGACAGACUGCUCUCCGUGAAGGUAAUUCUUUACAUCUUGAGUAGACUCGGUUUUCCAUUUUACUAAAUUUUCUUUUACUUUUGUUGAAUUUGCAGGAGAAGCUUUCUGGUUGUCUGUCA
rnacentral:lncRNA from 1 species